CCAGAAAGUACAUCUGAGAUGCAAACUUAGAUUUGAUCUGUUUUGGUGAAAGAAUAGUCUUCCCCACUGUGCUCCACUAUGAAUCUAAGAGUGGUGAUGCAAGAUGUAUUUAUAUUAACAUUUCUAAACAGAUGUCCUUUCAACCCAGUGAAAAUAAUUUCUAUAACAUGCAAAAGGAAAUAAAAAGAUGAAACA